rnacentral:tmRNA from 1 species
GGGGGCGCACUGGAUUCGACGGGAUUGAAUCGCGAUGCGGAGGCGUGCCGGGUUCCGAGCUCCCGUAAAACGAUCGGAAAAACAAAACUGCCAACAACACGCAGUUUGCAUACGCAGCUUAAUUAAAACCUAAGCGGCGUCGCUCCGGCCAGUCAGCCCACGGGUUGGUUAGUGAGCGUCAUUUAGUGGGAUAGGGAGCAGGCUUCUGUUCGUAGCCGAGACCCGAGAUCAAUCGAACUGGUCUGUCACUGUCUUGCCGGCUCUCAGGUGAUAGAUAAGACUCAGAGUCGGAUACGCACGUAGUCUCUGUAUUUCGGGCUAUUUCGGACGGGGGUUCAAAUCCCCCCGCCUCCACCA